UACGGAAGGGGGCUAGCGUUGUUCGGAAUUACUGGGCGUAAAGCGCGUGUAGGCGGGUCUUUAAGUCAGGGGUGAAAUCGCCAAGGCUCAACCUUGGAACUGCCCUUUGAUACUGGAGAUCUUGAGUCCGAGAGAGGUGAGUGGAAUUGCGAGUGUAGAGGUGAAAUUCGUAGAUAUUCGCAAGAACACCAGUGGCGAAGGCGGCUCACUGGCCGGUCGUAGACGCUGAGGUGCGAAAGCGUGGGGAGCAAACAGGG
rnacentral:rRNA from 1 species